GAUGAACGCUGGCGGCGUGCCUAAUAUAUGCAAGUCGAGCGAACAGACGAGGAGCUUGCUCCUCUGACGUUAGCGGCGGACGGGUGAGUAACACGUGGAUAACCUACCUAUAAGACUGGGAUAACUUCGGGAAACCGGAGCUAAUACCGGAUAAUAUAUUGAACCGCAUGGUUCAAUAGUGAAAGACGGUUUUGCUGUCACUUAUAGAUGGAUCCGCGCCGCAUUAGCUAGUUGGUAAGGUAACGGCUUACCAAGGCAACGAUGAGUAGCCGACCUGAGAGGGUGAUCGGCCACACUGGAACUGAGACACGGUACAGACUCCUACGGGAGGCAGCAGUAGGGAAUCUUCCGCAAUGGGCGAAAGCCUGACGGAGCAACGCCGCGUGAGUGAUGAAGGUCUUCGGAUCGUAAAACUCUGUUAUUAGGGAAGAACAAAUGUGUAAGUAACUAUGCACGUCUUGACGGUACCUAAUCAGAAAGCCACGGCUAACUACGUG
rnacentral:rRNA from 1 species